rnacentral:rRNA from 1 species
AUAGGGAGUCGGACCUGCCCAGUGAAUUAUUUUAAACGGCCGCGGUACUCUGACCGUGCAAAGGUAGCAUAAUCAUUUGCCCUAUAAUUGAGGGCUAGUAUGAAUGGUUUGACAAGAAUAAAGCUGUCUCCUAACAAUUAUAUAGAAUUUUAUUUCUAGGUGAAGAAGCCUAGAUUAAAUUAAAAGACAAGAAGACCCUAUCGAGCUUUAAAAAAAUUAAUAAGUUAAUAGAUAUAAUCUUAAAACAAUGUUUAUUAAAUAUUUUGGUUGGGGCGACUAAGGAACAAACAAAGCUUCUUUUAAAUUAAAAUUACAAACAAGUAUUGAUCCAAAAAUUUUGAUUAAAGAAAUUAGUUACCGUAGGGAUAACAGCAUUAUCUUUUUUGAGAGCUCAUAUCGAAAAAAAGGUUUGUGACCUCGAUGUUGGACCAGAAUAUCCUAAAGAUGCAGAAGUCUUUAAGGGUUGGUCUGUUCGACCAUUAAAAUUCUA